rnacentral:miRNA from 1 species
UUCGUCAGAUUUGUUAAAGGUUUCGC